rnacentral:rRNA from 1 species
GCAGUCGAGCGGUAGCACAGAGAGCUUGCUCUCGGGUGACGAGCGGCGGACGGGUGAGUAAUGUCUGGGAAACUGCCUGAUGGAGGGGGAUAACUACUGGAAACGGUAGCUAAUACCGCAUAACGUCGCAAGACCAAAGUGGGGGACCUUCGGGCCUCAUGCCAUCAGAUGUGCCCAGAUGGGAUUAGCUAGUAGGUGGGGUAACGGCUCACCUAGGCGACGAUCCCUAGCUGGUCUGAGAGGAUGACCAGCCACACUGGAACUGAGACACGGUCCAGACUCCUACGGGAGGCAGCAGUGGGGAAUAUUGCACAAUGGGCGCAAGCCUGAUGCAGCCAUGCCGCGUGUGUGAAGAAGGCCUUCGGGUUGUAAAGCACUUUCAGCGGGGAGGAAGGCGGUGAGGUUAAUAACCUUGUCGAUUGACGUUACCCGCAGAAGAAGCACCGGCUAACUCCGUGCCAGCAGCCGCGGUAAUACGGAGGGUGCAAGCGUUAAUCGGAAUUACUGGGCGUAAAGCGCACGCAGGCGGUCUGUCAAGUCGGAUGUGAAAUCCCCGGGCUCAACCUGGGAACUGCAUUCGAAACUGGCAGGCUAGAGUCUUGUAGAGGGGGGUAGAAUUCCAGGUGUAGCGGUGAAAUGCGUAGAGAUCUGGAGGAAUACCGGUGGCGAAGGCGGCCCCCUGGACAAAGACUGACGCUCAGGUGCGAAAGCGUGGGGAGCAAACAGGAUUAGAUACCCUGGUAGUCCACGCCGUAAACGAUGUCGAUUUGGAGGUUGUGCCCUUGAGGCGUGGCUUCCGGAGCUAACGCGUUAAAUCGACCGCCUGGGGAGUACGGCCGCAAGGUUAAAACUCAAAUGAAUUGACGGGGGCCCGCACAAGCGGUGGAGCAUGUGGUUUAAUUCGAUGCAACGCGAAGAACCUUACCUGGUCUUGACAUCCACAGAACUUUCCAGAGAUGGAUUGGUGCCUUCGGGAACUGUGAGACAGGUGCUGCAUGGCUGUCGUCAGCUCGUGUUGUGAAAUGUUGGGUUAAGUCCCGCAACGAGCGCAACCCUUAUCCUUUGUUGCCAGCGGUUCGGCCGGGAACUCAAAGGAGACUGCCAGUGAUAAACUGGAGGAAGGUGGGGAUGACGUCAAGUCAUCAUGGCCCUUACGACCAGGGCUACACACGUGCUACAAUGGCAUAUACAAAGAGAAGCGACCUCGCGAGAGCAAGCGGACCUCAUAAAGUAUGUCGUAGUCCGGAUUGGAGUCUGCAACUCGACUCCAUGAAGUCGGAAUCGCUAGUAAUCGUAGAUCAGAAUGCUACGGUGAAUACGUUCCCGGGCCUUGUACACACCGCCCGUCACACCAUGGGAGUGGGUUGCAAAAGAAGUAGGUAGCUUAACCUUCGGGAGGGCGCUA